UCAGCCCAUGGAUAAUGUUAUGAUAUACACUAAAUCUGGCAUUUGUUGGCACACUUUUAAUAUCCAAUUUAAGUCUUAAACUUUACCCACUGCCAUCAGCCUUUGUAGUCGCUAACUGACAUCAAAUUCAAUAUUAACGCUGACUUGUCUCACUUUGCCAUGUUUAUUUCUUUCUAAAGGAGUUGAACCUUUUCGUGUUCAUAGUCUUUUUGCGCGUCAUGUUGGGAGGCCUCCCAGCAGGGGAUUUUUAUCUUCCCCUGCAAAACUAUACUUUACUCGCCUUAGGGAUGCAGGGCUAUCCUGCAUAGUUUCUUUCAUAAAUUAGAUUGUAGGUUGCAGGAUUAGAGCGCGUUUAUUUUCUUUAGGAGGACACAAACCUGGCAGAGAGACAACUCGGAUUAUUUAAGUGAAAGUUGCACCAAAUGUUCAAACUUUUUUAUCUUUUGAUACGAUGACUUGAAAUAAAUCUUUUAUUCUGUGGGCUGAAUUCAGACCGAAAUCAGACAGAAUUUGGCUUCAUGUUAAAGUCUGUUGUGCAAGUAAUUAUCUUGUAGCAGGAGUGAGCAGCUGCAGCUUUUUAAUUUAUUUUUCAUAAUUUGAUUUGUUUCUUGGAUUGACUUGGUGUCUGGAGCGUUGUGGUUAAGAGUGAUUAUGUAAACGUGUAAACACAGGUGGUCUUUUGCCUCUUAUUUGCGAAGCUGGCAGCUGGUUGAAAUGGUAGGACUUUACUUGCCCAAAGUGGGAUUUUUGAUGGAGCAUAGGGUUAACACCUCACCAUACACUCGCUAUUUCAGCGAGUGUCUGUAGUCCGUUAUUACCCAUGACUUUCUUCAAAUUUCACAAUUUAGGCAGCUUGUAGAGUCAUUAAGAAGAUGCUUAAUCCCAAUGUCUUGGUCAGUUGCAUGAGAAACUGCUAUCUCUUAGAUGUGUUGGUGAAGUUCCUCUGAUUUUUGUAGACUUGCCCUAAAGUUUCUCUCCGCUUUAACUCUUGUUGAGCUAUACAUUAAAUGAUUCCUCCAACUUGUCUCCAUAUCAAAUUUUUUUCUCCAUGCAGCCUUCCACCACCCACUGCUGCUGUUGCAUCUGCUAAAGGUAGCCGUAUCCUGAUUCACUGCGUCUUCAUGUGUUGGGUAAGAAGUGUCAUUAGACUACUAACAAUGUAAACACCUUUUAAAUGCUUGAUCUAAUUUACCCAAAUGGUUCAUCAGGUUAGGACAGAAAGUCAUUGAAUUUGACAUUCUUGGGGUCAGUAACCUGACCUCUAAAUGUUUGGGAAACCAUGCAAAAGAUCGCAAGCUCUCUGCAUGACCCAACAGCAUUGAUGUUUGAGUUAUUUAAUUGCUCAAUUUUUAAAUCAGUCAAGGUUUUAUGAGCUGGAUCUUCUUCACACAACAGAGAACAAGGUAAAUUGAGUCGACUCGUAACAUGGUAAGGCAUUUUGUCUUUCCCCUUCUUCUCUGUGUGUGAGGAAAUCUGGCCACAGAUCAUGACUGAGUGGCAUACCAUGGCUGCGCAGUUUCCAAAAUCAGACAAGGAUCCAUCUGAUUUUGUGACUCGGCCUGUCAUGAUAUGCAUGUAUCUUCCUCCGAAACAAAGGAUUGGAAUGGUCAGGUUGGUAGUGUAAAUCACAUCACAUCACUUGUAGAUGGUGAAGCAUUUGUUUAAAUUGGGGUCAAGCAUUUUCAGGUGUCUGCUUUGUCAAUACUCUGGUGCCACGUCUUGCUAAACACACGAGAAGCUCUGAAUUGCGAAACUGCUGCCCCUUGCAGAUGUUACAACAGCAAUGGCUGUCGAAAGGCUGCAGGGAGAGAAAAUGAGAUCCGAGGACAGGAAAGUGGAAUUGAUUUCAUGCUUAGCAAAAUGAGGGUUUCAGCGGAGGAACUUUUUGUGGCGAGGCUACGGAAUCAGAAGGAACGUUUGUCUGGGCAACUGGGAGAUUUACAGUUUUUCAUGCAGCCAACUAAGACAUUGGGGUUAGCAUCAUCCCAAAUGGCUGGCAAAGAUUGCUUGUAACUGUCAGUGUAGGGCAGGAAAGGCAGGUAUAGGUUAGGGAGGGCAUCCAUCGGUGAGCUCUGACUGGAUGUGAGGACCUGUCACACUUGACCAGAGAUGAAGGCUGCAGCACAUUCCUGGAUCAGGGGAUUCCAUGUUGGACACCACCACCUGAAGAAGGCCCGUCCUGGAUGGCUGCGGUGAUGACCUAGCCCAAGAUGAACCAACCCUUCUACCACGAGGACUUUGCCCAAGAUGAACCGACCCUUCUACGACGAGGACUUUGCCCAAGAUGAACCGACCCUUCUAAGAUGAGGACUUCGCCCAAGAUGAACCAACCUUUUCCACCUUUUUUCCACGGGAUAUCUUGAGAUGCUGGACCUUGCCAAACUGUACACAUGCCUAAAUGGCUGCUACGUCACUCUGCCCAACAGGACAUGGUCACCGAGAUUUUUUUUAAAUGGACUUUAACCCCCCCUGUCCCCACUGACCCACAACCACAUAUGACAAAACACUGUACAUGUGAUGCAUCACCACACUGAAAUAUAGACACUGCUACUUUCAGCCUGUUUCAGUCCGUAAAAGAUCGCAAGCCCUCUGCAUGGCCAAACAGCAUCGAUGUUUGAGUUAUUUAAUUGCUCAAUUUUUAAAUCAGUCAAGAUUUCAUGAGCUGGGUCUUCUUCACACAACAGAGAACAAGGUAAAUUGAGUCGACUCGUAACAUGGUAAGGCAUUUCGUCCUUCCCCUUCUUCUCUGUGUGUGAGGAAAUCUGGCCACGGAUCAUGACUGAGUGGCAUACCAUGGCUGGGCUGUUUCCAAAAUCAGACAAGGAUCCAUCUGAUUUUGUGACUCGGCCUGUCAUGAUGUGCAUGUAUCUUCCUCCGAAACAAAGGAUUGGAAUGGACAGGUUUGUAGUGUAAAUCACAUCACUUGUAGAUGGUGAUGAUGUACAUACACUGCUACUUUCAGCCUGUAAUGUUUGACAUUGAAAACUUGUAUUUAUU